GGGGGGGGGGGGGGGGGGGGGGGGGGGGGGGGGGGGGGGGGGGGGCGGGGGGGGGGCGGGCUCUGCCGGGUGGCGGGUGGCGGACGGGUGGGGGAUUCCUCGGAGUCUCCGGUUGCGGGGGGGAUGGCGUAGGGAGCCUUACGCUACUUCCGCCCACGACCUACGGGUUAAUGCCGGGCGUCUGCGUCCCGUCCACUCUUGCCUUAUCCGACGGCGGAUGAGCUAGUUGGCGGCUUAAAGGACCACCACGGCGCUGAUCCGUCGCUGGUCUGAGAGGAUGGUCAGCCACACUGGAACUGAGACACGGUCCAGACUCCUACGGGAGGCAGCAGUGGGGAAUAUUGGACAAUGGGCGCAAGCCUGAUCCAGCCAUACCGCGUGGGUGAAGAAGGCCUUCGGGUUGUAAAGCCCUUUUGUUGGGAAAGAAAAGCAGCAGGUUAAUACCCCGCUGUUCUGACGGUACCCAAAGAAUAAGCACCGGCUAACUUCGUG
rnacentral:rRNA from 1 species